UGAUAGGAGCUUGGAGAGGGUAC
rnacentral:piRNA from 1 species